GACGGAAGGUGCAAGCGUUGCUCGGAAUCACUGGGCGUAAAGGGUGCGUAGGCGGCCGUGCAAGUCUGGCGUGAAAGCCCCGGGCUCAGCCCGGGAAGUGCGCUCGAAACUGCGCGGCUCGAGUGCCGGAGGGGAGAGUGGAAUUCCUGGUGUAGCGGUGAAAUGCGUAGAUAUCAGGAGGAACACCGGUGGCGAAGGCGGCGUUCUGGACUGCAACUGACACUGAGGAACGAAAGCCAGGGGAGCAAACGGG
rnacentral:rRNA from 1 species